rnacentral:tRNA from 1 species
GUCUGAGUGGCCCAAUGGAUAAGGCGCGGCUCUCCUAAAGCCGAGACUACGGGUUCGAGUCCCGUCUCAGAUG